CAUUAAAGAGUAAGGGUGCUCAGCGCCCGACCUCCAACCCUUUGUUGUUAAAACUACCUUGUUGCUUUGGCGGGACCGCUCGGUCUCGAGCCGCUGGGGAUUCGUCCCAGGCGAGCGCCCGCCAGAGUUAAACCAAACUCUUGUUAUUAAACCGGUCGUCUGAGUUAAAAUUUUGAAUAAAUCAAAACUUUCAACAACGGAUCUCUUGGUUCUCGCAUCGAUGAAGAACGCAGCGAAAUGCGAUAAGUAAUGUGAAUUGCAGAAUUCAGUGAAUCAUCGAAUCUUUGAACGCACAUUGCGCCCCUUGGUAUUCCGAGGGGCAUGCCUGUUCGAGCGUCAUUACACCACUCAAGCUAUGCUUGGUAUUGGGUGCCGUCCUUAGUUGGGCGCGCCUUAAAGACCUCGGCGAGGCCUCACCGGCUUUAGGCGUAGUAGAAUUUAUUCGAACGUCUGUCAAAGGAGAGGACUUCUGCCGACUGAAACCUUUUAUUUUUCUAGGUUGACCUCGGAUCAGGUAGGGAUACCCGCUGAACUUAAGCAUAUCAAUA
rnacentral:rRNA from 1 species